rnacentral:rRNA from 1 species
GGCACAGAGUUAGCCGGGGCUUCUUCUCCUCGAUACUGUCAGAUCCCACAACGUAUUAAAUUGCGGGAUGUUCAUCUCGGUCGAAAGGAGUUUACGAACCGAAAUUCUUCAUCCUCCACGCGGCGUUGCGUCGUCAGGCUUUCGCCCAUUGCGAACAAUUCCCCA